rnacentral:rRNA from 1 species
GAUUAUGGCUCAGAUUGAACGCUGGCGGCGUGCUUAACACAUGCAAGUCGAACGCGAAAGGGACUUCGGUCCUGAGUAAAGUGGCGCACGGGUGAGUAACGCGUGGAUAAUCUGCCCUUAUGAUCGGGAUAACAGUUGGAAACGGCUGCUAAUACCGGAUACGCUCAAAAUGAACUUUUUGAGGAAAGAUGGCCUCUGCUUGCAUGCUAUCACGUAAGGAUGAGUCCGCGUCCCAUUAGCUUGUUGGCGGGUAACGGCCCACCAAGGCAACGAUGGGUAGUCGAUUUGAGGGGAUGAUCGGCCACACUGGAACUGAAACACGGUCCAGACUCCUACGGGAGGCAGCAGUGGGGAAUAUUGCGCAAUGGGCGAAAGCCUGACGCAGCGACGCCGCGUGAGGGAUGAAGGUUUUCGGAUCGUAAACCUCUGUCAGAAGGGAAGAAACUACGUUGUGCUAAUCAGCAGCGUACUGACGGUACCUUCAAAGGAAGCACCGGCUAACUCCGUGCCAGCCGCGGC